UACAGAGGGGGCAAGCGUUGUUCGGAAUUACUGGGCGUAAAGGGCGCGUAGGCGGCCUGCUAAGUCGAACGUGAAAUCCCCGGGCUCAACCCGGGGACUGCGUCCGAUACUGGAAGGCUUGAAUCCGGGAGAGGGAUGCGGAAUUCCAGGUGUAGCGGUGAAAUGCGUAGAUAUCUGGAGGAACACCGGUGGCGAAGGCGGCAUCCUGGACCGGCAUUGACGCUGGGGCGCGAAAGCCAGGGGAGCAAACGGG
rnacentral:rRNA from 1 species